GUAUUCUCUAUUUUAGGGUUCUUUGCCAUUCGAAAUCAAAUCUAGAGAAUAGAUGCGGAUCUGUCAAUACAUACAGAGAAGAGAGAGAGAGAGAAUUGAACAGUAAAUUAGGGUUUCUGUUGAUGACUCUCUCUUCAACUCUCUUCAGAAUUAUCUUUUUAUGAAGCAAAUGACGAGGCGUCCAUCGAUUGACGAUACAGACAAAGCCUCGUAUUGUUCACCAAAGCCUCGAAUCCAUCACAGUAGUAGAAACGUGUUUUCCUUGUUAGCACGGAGGGAGGUAGCUCCCAGAACAAAAUCCUUGCCAAGAUGGCAGUGGGGGGAUGUUUCAAAAUGCAAUACUGAAAUUUCUCUUGGGCCCCAAAUUGAAGCAGUAAGAGAUGCAAGGCGUGGCCUUUUCUCAUGGGUUGAGGAAGAGUCUUUGCGGCAUUUAUCAGCUAAAUAUUGUUCUUUGGUGCCUCCUCCAAGGUCAACCAUUGCAGCAGCAUUUAGUCCUGAUGGGAAAACCCUUGCUUCUACACAUGGUGAUCACACUGUAAAGAUAGUUGAUUGCCAAACUGGAAGCUGCUUAAAGGUGUUGAGUGGCCAUCGAAGAACUCCUUGGGUGGUUAGAUUCCACCCAGAGCAUCCAGAAAUACUUGCAAGUGGAAGUUUGGAUCAUGAAGUUCGCCUGUGGGAUGCAAAUACAUCAGAGUGCAUCGGAUCUCGCGAUUUUUACCGACCUAUUGCUUCCAUUGCUUUCCAUGCUGAAGGGGAAGUCCUUGCUGUUGCUUCAGGUCACAAGCUAUACAUAUGGCACUACAAUAGGAAAGGGGAGACUUCCUCACCUGUUAUUGUACUGAAGACAAGGCGUUCACUUCGGGCAGUGCAUUUUCAUCCACAUGGCGCUCCUUUACUCUUAACUGCUGAGGUCAAUGAUCUUGACUCUUCAGAUUCCUCAAUGACACAGGCAACCUCUCUAGGAUCUUUGCAUUAUCCUCCUCCUGCUGUUUAUGUGGCAAAUGUGCGUUCAAGUGACCGUCUUAGUAUGGCUGCUGAGCGGCCUUCGGUGUCUUUACCUUUCUUGUACUUGCCUUCAUUUGCAAGUGUGAAUCCGAGGACAGAUCUGCAGCUUGGUAACAGACCUGUUGAUCGAAGUCGUGCAGAAGUGGGAUCUUCUGCUUCAGUGCAGUUUCGAGUGGAUGCAAAUCCAAUAGAGCAGCACGAUCAUACAGAGAUUUCUCCUGCUAUAGCUUCUAACUCAGAUGCUGCAAUGGAGGAAACUUUAACUAACUAUUGCCCUACUCUACUGCAAGAUUCUGUUGGUGACACCACUAUCGAUGCUAUGGAGACUACUGAAGUGCAACUUGUAGAGGGGUACCCUUUCGAAGCUAGUGGGGUGCCUAGAUCAAUUGGUCUUCCACUAGAUAGAGUCUCCAUUGGUACGAGACAUCAUCAAUUUCUACAUUCUAGGGACCCGACAUGUUGGGAGCUACCAUUUGUGCAAGGAUGGUUAAUGGGUCAAAGCCAAGCUGGGAUGCCUCCUACGAUUCCUGUUGGUGACAGGCAUGAGCAUCCAUCUAGAUAUUUUGGAGCUGGUUCUGCAAUGCUGACAUAUGAUUUGCCUGCUUGUAAUGAGGGGAUUCCAGGGGCUCCUUUGGCAAUGCCAUCCAGUGUGAAUAGAACUGUAUUUUCAGGAGGAUCUGGCUUGCAGGAUCAUUCUUUGCGCACCCGUUUGAUUUCUGCGUCAGACUCCGGACAAGGUGCUGCUCCUGUUAGUAUUCCACAUGGUGAGAGCGAUUCUUUCCCAAUUAUGAGUAGAAUUCAAUCUGAACUUGCUGCGUCAUUGGCUGCUACAGCAGCUGCUGAGUUACCUUGUACAGUGAAGUUAAGAAUAUGGGCACAUGAUAUAAAAAGUCCCUGUGACCCACUUGAUGGUGAAAGGUGUCGCCUAACCAUACCACAUGCUGUCCUUUGCAGUGAAAUGGGCGCCCAUUUUUCACCUUGCGGGAGAUUUUUGGCUGCGUGCGUUGCGUGCAUGCUUCCUCAAACUGAAGCUGAUCCAGGUUUAUUAACACAAUUCCAUCAAGAUGUCUCUGGGGCUGGGACAUCCCCCACUCGACACCCAAUCUAUGCACGCCAAGUCAUGUAUGAGCUUCGCAUAUAUUCUCUCGAGGAGGCAACUUUUGGUUCAGUUCUUGUAUCGCGGGCAAUUAGAGCUGCUCAUUGUCUAACUUCAAUCCAGUUUUCUCCCACUUCUGAGCACAUAUUGCUUGCUUACGGUCGUCGCCAUAGCUCUCUUCUUAAAAGCAUUGUUAUUAAUGGAGAAACAUCAUUACCUAUUUACACAGUUUUGGAGGUAUAUCGAGUUUCAGAUAUGGAACUUGUGAGUGUGCUUCCGAGUGCAGAAGAUGAGGUCAAUGUAGCUUGCUUCCAUCCUUUAGCAGGUGGUGGCCUUGUCUAUGGAACUAAGGAAGGAAAGCUUAGGGUUUUGCAGUAUGAUGGUUCUCAUGACAAGAUUUGUACUAGACCAAUGGUUGUUUCAGAGGAAAAUAUCGUUGAGGUAGAACAGUAUCCCAGGUUGUUCAGACAUAUGCUUUAGAAUGCUAGACUCAUGGUUGCCAUUCAUCAUUAGAGGAGUACAGCUUGAGUUGGAUAGCAGUCAAUUUAAGAGGAUUUAUACACUUCUUGACCAAGCUACCACAAUUUCAGAGAACUCGUGCCAUACCUCUCCUGGAGCUCUUUCAGCUUGUUGGAACUGGGGUUCUUCAAUCUCUUUUUUCCCCGUAUACUUGAAUCAUGUUUGUGUCAACUUGUACAAUAUCAUAGGUGUCAAGACAAGUUUGUAUUUUCACUUUUUUCUAUGUAUCUUUUUUGGCUUGUGUUUUUUUUUUGGUGAAGUAGCGAGGGUAGAGGCAAACUGAAAAAUAUUGUAGAUUCUCUGGGGGAGAAUUUCUCAGCUGUUGGGGGUGCUUGUAAUUAAGUCGUUAACAGUCAAUGCGUUGAUGUAAUUUUAAAAAAUGAGCUGUUCCCAUGAUAAUCAGCUUAAUAUAUAGCUCUCGAUUACUGUCUCA